GAUGAACGCUGGCGGCGUGCUUAACACAUGCAAGUCGAACGAGAAGUGAAGACGGAAACCUUCGGGCGGAAGGCUUUAUCUCGAGUGGCGGACGGGUGAGUAACGCGUGGGUAACCUGCCUCAUACAGGGGGAUAACAGUUGGAAACGACUGUUAAUACCGCAUAAGACCACAGCACCGCAUGGUGCGGGGGUAAAAACUCCGGUGGUAUGAGAUGGACCCGCGUUCGAUUAGCCAGUUGGCGGGGUAACGGCCCACCAAAGCGACGAUCGAUAGCCGAUCUGAGAGGAUGACCGGCCACAUUGGGACUGAGACACGGCCCAAACUCCUACGGGAGGCAGCAGUGGGGAAUAUUGCACAAUGGGGGAAACCCUGAUGCAGCGACGCCGCGUGAGUGAAGAAGUAUUUCGGUAUGUAAAGCUCUAUCAGCAGGGAAGAAAAUGACGGUACCUGAGUAAGAAGCCCCGGCUAACUACGUG
rnacentral:rRNA from 1 species